rfam:Myotis brandtii contig305186, whole genome shotgun sequence.
GCCAGUUUAGCUCAGUGGAUAGAGUGUCGGCCUGGGGACCGAAGGAUUCGGGUUCAAUUCCAGUCAAAGGGCA